UCAUGGCUCAGGAUGAACGCUGGCGGCGUGCCUAAUACAUGCAAGUCGAACGAGUUCUCGUUGAUGAUCGGUGCUUGCACCGAGAUUCAACAUGGAACGAGUGGCGGACGGGUGAGUAACACGUGGGUAACCUGCCCUUAAGUGGGGGAUAACAUUUGGAAACAGAUGCUAAUACCGCAUAGAUCCAAGAACCGCAUGGUUCUUGGCUGAAAGAUGGCGUAAGCUAUCGCUUUUGGAUGGACCCGCGGCGUAUUAGCUAGUUGGUGAGGUAAUGGCUCACCAAGGCGAUGAUACGUAGCCGAACUGAGAGGUUGAUCGGCCACAUUGGGACUGAGACACGGCCCAAACUCCUACGGGAGGCAGCAGUAGGGAAUCUUCCACAAUGGACGCAAGUCUGAUGGAGCAACGCCGCGUGAGUGAAGAAGGCUUUCGGGUCGUAAAACUCUGUUGUUGGAGAAGAAUGGUCGGCAGAGUAACUGUUGUCGGCGUGACGGUAUCCAACCAGAAAGCCACGGCUAACUACGUGCCAGCAGCCGCGGUAAUACGUAGGUGGCAAGCGUUAUCCGGAUUUAUUGGGCGUAAAGCGAGCGCAGGCGGUUUUUUAAGUCUGAUGUGAAAGCCCUCGGCUUAACCGAGGAAGCGCAUCGGAAACUGGGAAACUUGAGUGCAGAAGAGGACAGUGGAACUCCAUGUGUAGCGGUGAAAUGCGUAGAUAUAUGGAAGAACACCAGUGGCGAAGGCGGCUGUCUGGUCUGUAACUGACGCUGAGGCUCGAAAGCAUGGGUAGCGAACAGGAUUAGAUACCCUG
rnacentral:rRNA from 1 species